rnacentral:lncRNA from 1 species
UAUGUACUUUGAUUCUAAACACGGUUUAAACACAUUGUUCCUAUGAAUCACUUAUGUUAUGUUGCCUUUUUUUUUCUUUUGAGCUUUAUUUGUGUUCAUGGCGGAAUGAAGGGAGGGGUUUCAAGUAAUUAGGUUGGGCAUCACCUAGUACCAUACACAUUACAUAGCCGCAACAUUUUCAAAGUUGAUCUUAUACCAUGUCCCAUACCCGCAUAAGUGUCCCAAAUCUUUCAGGUUUAGGAUUUUUUGCCAUCCCUAGUUUUAAGGGGUUUCGCUGACCCUCAAGACACCGGUGUCGUUCCUCGGAUUUUUGCUAUAAAUCUAGGUUUUUUAAGAAGAAAAAAAGUGAGUUUGGCAAGGUGGAUAAAGUGUUGCUCAUGGUGGUGUUCGGGUUGUUUUGGUGAUAGAGUUGGUAGCGAUGCUUGCUCAAAUGGAUUUCUAACAAAAGAUGAAGGACAAUGAUCAAUGUUGAACUCCUACUCAAUUUGUUGAGUAAAUAAAAAGAUCAGGGGGAAAAGUGGAAGUUAUCAAGGGUCGCGAUGGUCUUUGAGUAAACUUUUGGACCAAAGUGUAAUAUCAAAUGCUGGACAUAUAAAAGGGUCUCUUGUGCGCAGUUGAUUUAUUUUCCCCAAAAAGUUCAACUUCACAUUCACUCAAGAGUCUCCGAAGAUUUGAGGGUUUCUACAGGUUCGUUGUAAAUCUGUGUUGUUCAAUAAUCUUUUGUAUUGUUUGAAGAUCGUUUAGUUGUUGCUCUCAUCUGUUUGAGAGAUUGUAUCGUUCAUUUGUUACUCUCAUCUGUGUGAGAGAUUAUACCGGUCAGUUUGGUGCUCUCGGCUGUUGAGAGGACGUUCUUCAUGUUGUUGAUGAUCAUCAGCCGAUGAUCAUUUAGGUAAUUGUUGAUUUUGUUCUUUGUAAGUUUACAGAUCUCAUAAAUUGUGAGAUCUAGGGUUUUCGGGGGUUUUUUCAGGUUUGGGUAAAUAAUAAAGUUUUGUCGCCAUUUUUUGUCGCUUCUUCGUCGUUCAAAUUUGUUGAAUGUUUGGGUAGUUGAUUUUUCAUACCAUUUGACAUAGUAUCAGAGCUAUGUAUUAGCUCGUGAGUCUGUUUGUUCUUGGGAUUCCGCUGUGAUUUGGGUUCUUCUUUAGUUUUCUCUUUGUCUAGUCAGUUUUGAUCUGUUUCUUGGAGACUAUGUAGGCACGAAUCUGGUGUGACUUGUCCGGUUGUUUUUUGUGUGACACAAACCCUAACUAGGGUUUGUUGGAGGUCAAGAAGGAGAUAUAUUGUCUGCGGUUUUCUGAAGACCUGUGUUGGUCUCUAAACCCUAGAAGGUUUAGGGCAAACUAACCAGGUGGUUUUGGUUUGUGGCUUAAUCAGUUCUAGUAGUUCUCGAAAACUACAAUUCUGAUCUUUUUUUUUGGAGCAUAUUGCACCCUCUGUAAGAUCUUUCCAUUCUGCUCUUAUUUUUUUCUCUGUUGUUGGUUUUGGUUAUUUGUCUUAGAGUGUGGCUCCUGUAUUAAGACUUGUCCAGGCACUAUAAGUGAUGAACCUGGACACUGAUACAGCUUCGCCUUAGGGUUUUUUGGUUACAUCUAAGUUGGCUGUUGUUUCUGUGUGUAGUUAUCUGUUUGAUAACUAGUGUCUUUUGUUAAUUUGUCUUAUGUUUGUGUUGUGAUUAUCUGUCUGGUUAUCUUGUUGAUCUGUCAAUAGGGUGAUGGUAGUACGUCUGUUACUCUCAUUAGCAAACUUGACACAGGGUCUCCUCUUUACUUGCAUCCUAGUGACUCUAGUGCGUUGACCAUUGUUAGUAUAAAAUUCAAGGGUGCAGAAAACUAUACAGUUUGGGCUAGUGCAAUGAAGCUUGCACUAGAAGCUAAACAUAGGUACGGUUUUAUAGAUGGUAAAUGUGAAAACCUUGAGGAUGAUGAUGUGUUAUCUGCCCAGUGGGAUAUGUGAAACUCAGUUGUGCUUACUUGGUUAUUAAACUCUAUAUCUGAGGAACUGUUUCUUGGUGAAGUCUUUUCUAAGUUAGCUUCUGAGGUCUGGAAUGAUCUUAAAGAGUCUUUUUAUAAGGUAGAUGGUUAUGUUGUAUACGAUUUGUAUAAAAAGAUCAAUAAUAUUUCACAAAAUGGUAGUUCUGUGGCAGAUUAUUACAACAGAUUGACAACAAUAUGGAAGCAGUUUGAUGCAAUGUUGCAUCUGCCUUCAUGUUCUUGUCAAGCUGCCAAGGACUAUAAUGAUUUUUCAACUUUAAUAAAACCAGUGCAGUUCCUUAUGGGACUUGAUGAUGUGUAACAACCAGUAAGAACAAAUUUGUUAACAAGAGAACCAUUCCCUUCGGUUAAAGUGGCUUUUUCAAUUGUUUCUAGAGAAGAGUCACAUAGAUUGUCUAGUGGUGGAUCAAAAUCACAGAAUGUGUCUUUUGUGUCUAAAUGUAACACCCCGUGUUUUCCAAAAGUCAAAGUCAAAGUCAAGUGUUGAUUGUGAUUGGAAUUAAAGAUAAUUUAGAAUUAUUUUAUUUUAGUUUCAUUUUGAUU